rnacentral:rRNA from 1 species
AUACGGAGGGUCCGAGCGUUAUCCGGAAUCAUUGGGUUUAAAGGGUCCGUAGGCGGGAAUCUAAGUCAGUGGUGAAAUCUUGCAGCUCAACUGUAAAAUUGCUAUUGAUACUGGAUUUCUUGAAUUAGUGUGAAGUGGUUAGAAUGUGUAGUGUAGCGGUGAAAUGCAUAGAUAUUACACAGAAUACCAAUUGCGAAGGCAGAUCACUAACACUAUAUUGACGCUAAGGGACGAAAGCGUGGGGAGCGAACAGGAUUAGAAACCCCAGUAGUCC